ACAAGUAGUCAGAGCCCGUUAAUGGGUGAUGGCGUGCCUUUUGUAGAAUGAACCGGCGAGUUACGAUUUGAUGCAAGGUUAAGCAGUAAAUGUGGAGCCGUAGCGAAAGCGAGUCUGAAUAGGGCGUUUAGUAUUUGGUCGUAGACCCGAAACCAGGUGAUCUACCCUUGGUCAGGUUGAAGUUCAGGUAACACUGAAUGGAGGACCGAACCGACUUACGUUGAAAAGUGAGCGGAUGAACUGAGGGUAGCGGAGAAAUUCCAAUCGAACCUGGAGAUAGCUGGUUCUCUCCGAAAUAGCUUUAGGGCUAGCCUCAAGUGAUGAUUAUUGGAGGUAGAGCACUGUUUGGACGAGGGGCCCCUCUCGGGUUACCGAAUUCAGACAAACUCCGAAUGCCAAUUAAUUUAACUUGGGAGUCAGAACAUGGGUGAUAAGGUCCGUGUUCGAAAGGGAAACAGCCCAGACCACCAGCUAAGGUCCCAAAAUAUAUGUUAAGUGGAAAAGGAUGUGGCGUUGCCCAGACAACUAGGAUGUUGGCUUAGAAGCAGCCAUCAUUUAAAGAGUGCGUAAUAGCUCACUAGUCGAGUGACACUGCGCCGAAAAUGUACCGGGGCUAAACAUAUUACCGAAGCUGUGGAUUGUCCUUUGGACAAUGGUAGGAGAGCGUUCUAAGGGCGUUGAAGCAUGAUCGUAAGGACAUGUGGAGCGCUUAGAAGUGAGAAUGCCGGUGUGAGUAGCGAAAGACGGGUGAGAAUCCCGUCCACCGAUUGACUAAGGUUUCCAGAGGAAGGCUCGUCCGCUCUGGGUUAGUCGGGUCCUAAGCUGAGGCCGACAGGCGUAGGCGAUGGAUAACAGGUUGAUAUUCCUGUACCAC
rnacentral:rRNA from 1 species